UACGUAGGGUGCAAGCGUUAUCCGGAAUUAUUGGGCGUAAAGAGCUCGUAGGCGGUUUGUCGCGUCUGCUGUGAAAACUGGGGGCUCAACCCCCAGCCUGCAGUGGGUACGGGCAGACUAGAGUGCGGUAGGGGAGAUUGGAAUUCCUGGUGUAGCGGUGAAAUGCGCAGAUAUCAGGAGGAACACCGAUGGCGAAGGCAGGUCUCUGGGCAUUAACUGACGCUGAGGAGCGAAAGCAUGGGGAGCGAACAGG
rnacentral:rRNA from 1 species